rnacentral:rRNA from 1 species
UUGGAGGGCAAGUCUGGUGCCAGCAGCCGCGGUAAUUCCAGCUCCAAUAGCGUAUAUUGAAGUUGUUGCAGUUAAAAAGCUCGUAGUUGAACUUCGGGAUUUGCCCAUUGGUCAGGCUUAACUGUCUGCACUGGUGUGACGAGUUCCUACCUUCUGAGGAAUCUCCAUGUCAUUCAGUUGGUGUGGGGGGAAAUCAGGACUGUUACUUUGAAAAAAUUAGAGUGUUUAAAGCAGGCGUCCGUCUGAAUACAUUAGCAUGGAAUAAUAAAAUAGGACGGUUUGGUUCUAUUUUGUUGGUUUCUAGGAUCACCGUAAUGAUUAAUAGGGAUAGUUGGGGGCAUUAGUAUUCAAUUGUCGGAGGUGAAAUUCUUGGAUUUAUUGAAGACUAACUACUGCGAAAGCAUUUGCCAAGGAUGUUUUCAUUAAUCAAGAACGAAAGUUAGGGGAUCGAAGACGAUCAGAUACCGUCGUAGUCUUAACCGUAAACUAUGCCGACUAGGGAUCGGACGAAGUUAAUUUUUUAAUGACUCGUUCGGCGCCUUACGGGAAAC